rnacentral:rRNA from 1 species
UACGUAGGGGGCGAGCGUUACCCGGAUUUACUGGGCGUAAAGCGUGCGCAGGCGGUUAUGUAAGACAGAUGUGAAAUGCCCGGGCUUAACCUGGGAACUGCAUUUGUGACUGCAUGGCUAGAGUUUGGCAGAGGGGGGUAGAAUUCCACGUGUAGCAGUGAAAUGCGUAGAUAUGUGGAGGAACACCGAUGGCGAAGGCAGCCCCCUGGGUCAAGACUGACGCUCAUGCACGAAAGCGUGGGGAGCAAACAGG